rnacentral:lncRNA from 1 species
CCGCCCGCCCGCUGAAGGCCCCGCCCCCGGCGCCGAAGCCCCGCCCUGCCGCCCUCGAAGCCUCUGUCAGCGAACGAGCGCGCGCAAUAGCGCGGGGCAGGGGUCGCCGCGGCCGGAAGCCCACGCGGGGGGUUGCAGGGACGGGUCGUAAGGGGCGGGGCGGGCCUCGAGGAGGCGGCGGUGGGGUCCCCGGACCUCCGCGCGUGGCACAGCCCGCAUCCUGAACUGACUCCCACUCGAGGACCACCUCUCCUCUCCCUUCUGAGGGCGGAACGGAAAGGCCAAGCGCCUCCUCGCCUCGGGAGCUGCAGGACGCCCUAAUUCAGCCGAGUCGCCGCGUGCCCGGGUGCCCGCGAACAGCAGGAGAGAGGACGGGCGCUGGCCCCACAGGGGUCGCUUUACCCCUUGAAGAGCUCCUCGCUGCCUGCCCUGGGGGUGGUGGGCGUCCAGGUUCACAGGGUACUUGAGCUUGCUGGGGUGGGGGUGUGUAUGAAGUGCGUCCAGGGUUUUGUGGAGCGCGUCUAGCAGUUGCUCUACUUCUUACUGACAGUGAAACAAGGGCGCCCACGACAGGUGUUCCCUUUUCGCUGUCGCUGCCAGGAAGCUUCCAGCCAGGUUCAGCGCCCAGUGGUGUCAGCCGGCCCAUCUCGAGCCUUGGUUCCGCUGUCAUCUUCUGGUGCUUAUUCUGGUGUUUAUCCAACUGUCCGUUUUGAAAUUAUGUUCCCAAGCCAUUUAACACCUCUGGAGAACCAAAGCACUGGCUGUCAGCGGAGCGGGAUGCACGCGCAGCGGAGGGGACUGGGCACGCCAACCCCACGAGGGUUCCUGCGGAGAUGACACGGACCUUGAGGUCUGAAGCCAAAGGACGAUUUGUGUGAAGGGAUUUUAUUGUUAGCUUUGGAGCCAGCAACAAGAACACAGCCCUGGAGUUCCCGGGGCAAAAAGGAUACCAAGAUAAUAAUUCAGAGUCUUCACAGCACAUUGAGGAAGAUGUUAUUACCACUUUACAAAUGAAGAAUCCAAAGCUUGAAGAGGUUAAAGGACUUCCUCAAUAAUGCAAAGAUAGUAAGGGGUAAUGCCAGGAUUCAACUCAGACACACUGACUGCUGUUGCAGACCUCCAUGUGAUAACUCAUAAUAAUAACGCCAACUAUGCUAUUAGGUAGGAUUGUUGUGAAUACUCAUUGAAAUCGUUCAUAUAAAAGCCCAUCACACCUUGCCUGGCCAGGUAGCAAGAGCUCAAGGAAUGCUGUGAUUAUGCAGUAGUUGUGCCAAGAUGCAG